rnacentral:rRNA from 1 species
AGCGAACGCUGGCGGCAGGCCUAACACAUGCAAGUCGAACGAAGUCUUCGGACUUAGUGGCGGACGGGUGAGUAACACGUGGGAACGUGCCUUUAGGUUCGGAAUAACUCAGGGAAACUUGUGCUAAUACCGAAUGGGCCCUUCGGGGGAAAGAUUUAUCGCCUUUAGGGCGGCCCGCGUCUGAUUAGCUAGUUGGUGAGGUAAAGGCUGACCAAGGCGACGAUCAGUAGCUGGUCUGUGAGGAUGAUCAGCCACAUUGGGACUGAGACACGGCCCAAACUCCUACGGGAGGCAGCAGUGGGGAAUCUUGCGCAAUGGGCGAAAGCCUGACGCAGCCAUGCCGCGUGAAUGAUGAAGGUCUUAGGAUUGUAAAAUUCUUUCACCGGGGACGAUAAUGACGGUACCCGGAGAAGAAGCCCCGGCUAACUUCGUGCCAGCAGCCGCCGUAAAAC